UGCAAAAAAUAAUUUAAAAAUAGGAUUGUGUUCUAUUUCUGUGUUUCAUCCAAUCUCUGACUGUGCAGGGCCACACAGUGGUCUGUCAUCACAUACCUUUAGCACUGCUGUGCCCACCAACUGAUCCCUGAACACCAGCUCUGUGAUACUCCCUAGCUCCAUCUGAAUGUAUCCAGAACUUCUCAAGCUAAGAUACAGCAAUCCUAAUUUAUUCCACCUGAAGUAGAGUGAACAGAUGUCUUAACGACUUGGGGCUCAUGAGUCAAGAGCUUUGAAACCACCUCGGGACUUCACUGGUGGCCCAGUGGUUAAGAAUCCACCUGUCAGUGUAGGAGAUGUGGGUUCAGUUCCCGGUCUGGGAAGAUUCCAUACACUGUGGAGCAGCUAAGCCCAGUGGCCCAGUCACAAUUACUGAGCCCACGUGCUGCAGCUACUGAAGCCUAUACACCCUAGGCCCAGUGCUCUGCAACAAACACCCAGGGCAGCCAUAAAGAAGACAUUGACACCAACACCUGCCAUGUGGGGUGGUUGUGAGGAUCAGAAGAGGUCAUAUGACAGCCCCAGGAAUGCUUUAAAUCACUGGAAUAGUUCAGGCCAAACAAGCACCUUACAACAUAGUGACAAUGGCUGCUACAAGUACUGUGCAUCCACCUCCUCUUAAUCACCAGCAACCCUGGGACCAGAGUCCUGCUGUCACCCCCACGUUGCAGAUGAAGAGGCCAAGGCAACAGGUAUGCCCGCUGGUGAACACUGUGAAAGAUUGGAAGCUGAGGAGAUCGUGUGCCAAUGCAGCCCCCCAGAAAGGAGAGACGCAUAGUAUUUCCAGAUCCUGGGGCCCCCACCUGCCUUCUUGUCUGUGCUUUCUUCCUUGUUUCCUAGGAAAUAAUCUAAUAAACUCAGUCACCCCA
ensembl:lncRNA